AGCAGAAAACGUGUGAGAUAUACAUAUGAAGAUGUAUACUCAAGGUUACAUUUCUUGAAAUGUCAAAGGAACACCCGCUCAACACCAUUCCAUUCCAUCAGCUGCUCAACCUGCACAUUUAGAAAUACAUGCAGGGCUGAGUAUAAAAAUACUCAGUGGACAUAUGCCGAAAAUACAACAUGCAUACAUAUAUAAAUUGAACUGCCAUAACAGUAACACACAGGGGUUUUCUUGAAAGACCUGCGCUUACUAAAACAUUUCUUUCAUUUUCAUAAGAUUGGCCGGCCGACCUAUUUUCCUUCAUAUGAUCCAUAUCUGUUCCUUUCUGUCACGCGCCGGGAAGGAGGCCUCCUUACCACGGACGCCAAGACCGGUCGCAAGCGACUCGCGGUCUCCAUAGUGUACACUUAACCCUAGCUAGCGACCUUUGUCUAGCAUAGGAUCCCAAUUGGAUUUCCUUUAAAGUUGGCGAACCAACACAGAUAGGAUACAUAUCAAAACAUAAACAUUUUUGGCAGUCAAUCAUUUCAUAAACAUUUCAUUUCAUUUCAUAAACAUUCAUUUUCAUUUCAUAAGAGUCAUUUAUCAUUUGGGCAUAAUAAUAAACUGAAAUUAACAGUUAAAAUCAUUCAUGCAUAUAUUCGUAUAAGAGGCCUAGCACGCAGGGGAUCUCUAAUACUAUAGUAAAAGUAAUGCCCACCUCAAACGUUCUUAAGCUAGCGUGGAGUCGCUUCUUCUUCGGCUUCACUUCUGUCGCCCGGACCUUUAUUGAUGAAGAGUCGGUAAGUUCGUGAAGAAAAUUGUCACAAGACAAAGUCUAAUUCUACGUGCCUAGGGUAUCCUUUAGUGUUUUAGGGUUCUAGCAUCCAUAAUUCAUUUCGAUUAAAACAAUCAAAAACCAACAUAACAUCGACUAACCACAUAAUAUCACGUAACCACAUAACAAACAAAAUAAAAGAAUUCAACAUCCUUAAACUUAAUAUCAUUUAGAAAUUCACAUGUUCACAUAAGAGAUAAUAAUCAUGCACCAUCAAAACAUGCUCUGUUUUUACACUGACUCAACUUCAAAAAUUAACCUGUUCUGACUCCGACAUCUCCUGGACUCGAGACUCAGACCAAAAGAAAGAUCUUCGAGUCUAGUUUCAUAUAAAAAAAGUAGAGUCAAAAACUCCAAGUGGUUUGGGAGAUAUGUCAUUUUUACCACGAUCUACCAUAUUCCGCAGUUUUGAGCAAUCGAAAACUUGGAUUUUUGAAAAAUAGUAAAUGUUGUCAAACUGGGAUCAAAUUUAGUGGAUAUCUAGAUAACAAAAUAAGGUUAAUACCAUACAAAUUUGGAAAGCUAUAUCACACAGGAAGCUACUUAAAAUAAUGACUCUUUACCCUGUUCUCUGAAAUUCUCGGUAGUAAAGUGCAGUUUAGGGUUUGUAUUUUAUAAAAAUAGUAAACGAAGUCCAAAUGACUUGAAAUUUUACCGGUGUGCUUAAGACUCUCAAAUAUACUUACCAUAAAAUUUUCAUGGCUUUUGGUUAUCAAAAUCGCGUCGAAAACAGUAGGUCCGUAGCCUUUUAAAAAAAGUUCUCAAAUUAACUCCCGCACUUGAGCAUAAAGCAAAUAUACCUAAAUUCCGGACUUCUUCAAUGAAAAAAUUCUCAAAAAUUCAAAUUAAGCUCAUAUAAAUCACAAUAACAUAAAUACAUGAUCAUAUAACUCAAGAAAAUUCAAACAUCGACUUCCCCUUUUUCUCCUUACAUUCGACCAACACAUAAGUCAUUAGGAGUUGGUCCGUUUCGUCUCAUAUCGCAUAUACAAGCUCAAUUUAUCAUCAAAUAGCCAUAUAUAAACAUGCUCGACUCAUAACUCAUCUUAUAUACAAGAUCUCAUGUAUGCACGCAAACUAAACUUAACCAAUUUUAGGCAUUACUUGACAAUUAACCUAAAUUGAUCCCUAAUUAUACGUAUUUCUAUUCAUGUCUUAAUAACAAUUAAACUUAGCCAAUUUAAUCAAUUAACACAUAGAUCACAAAGUCCCAAUUUUUAACAAACUAAACUUUUUGAAAAUCUACAAACAUACAUAAAUCAUUAAUCCAACCUUAGAUUAAUCAAAUUGGUACACUUAGUAGCAUAAAUAAGCAAUCAAUUAGUAAAUUAAACCAUAGAAUCAAUUUUACCCAAAUUACAUCAAACUAACUCAUAUCAAAAAUUACCAAUCAAUUUCAACCAUCAAUCCAAUCCAUCAAAUCUCAUAUAAACACUCUCAAUAGCAUAUAUCAUCCAUCAAUUCAUCAAUCAAGCCUCAAAUACAAAACUUCCCAAAUUUUACACAAACUAAACUAUUUCAAAUCUCAUUAUCUCUUUUUAAUUCAAUUAUCUACACAUGGAUAUAACUCAUAGGUUCCCAAUAGUAUUUAAGUCACAUCACUUAAUAAACGGAUAAGAAAAAUUUUUGAUUUUUAUUAGACUCAACUUUUUGAAAUUUAUAAAUACAGAUGGGUGUUUUCUAGUUUGAUCUAUCCAUUUCCACCUUUUAAACUCACAUAUAAACCAUCAAUUAACAAUUUAGCAUAGAUACACAUAUCCCAAUUUAUAAACUAACUCAUAUCAAAAUCAUCAAUUGACAUCAUAUACUCAAUUUACUCCAUCAAUCAUCAUCAUAUACAUCUCAUAGACUCAUCUUCAUCAUCAAUCAUCAUUUAAUCAUCGACUCACCAUUUCCCAAUUUUGGGUAAACUAAACUCAAUCGACUUUCACAUCUCAAAGCAUAUACUUUCACAACACACAUCAAUCAUCAACAAACACCACAUAGAUCUCAUUUUUUUUUUCCCAAAUCAAGGAAAGAAAAAGAAAUUUUUGAAGGGUAAAGACCCAUUUUUUUGAAAAUUUUAAGAACAAGGGAGAGGUGAUUUUCUUUCUUCAUACAACAUCAUUCAAGCAAGAUUUAUGGAAUACAUGACCACUUACCCAAAUUUCUCACCAAAACUCACAUUUUCUCACUCUAGCUUGGAAGCCUUUCUUCAAUGAUUCUCUUGAAUAUAAGUAGCUAGGAUGUGUUUAUGGAAGAUUUUAGAGUGGAUUGAGGUGUUUUGUAAAAUUUUUUGGAAGCUUCGAAGGUCUCUUCAAUGGAGGAAAAUGGAGGAAAGUGAGAGAAAGAGGGAGAGAGGUGUUGGUCGAAAAUGAUGAGUGAGGAGUGAGAGAGGAUUUUGCAAGAUUGUAAAUGAUCUUGUGAUCUUUAAAGAGGAUUUUGUAAUCUUAAGGAA
rnacentral:lncRNA from 1 species